AAGAAGCACAAAAACAAAAGAAGAAGCACAAAAACAAAUCAAGAAGCACAAAAACAAAUUGAGAAGCACAAUUACAUUAAGAAAACCGGAAAGGGUAGGUACCAGUCGGCAACAGGAGACAUCACUGAUUGGACGUCCGCGCUGUUCAUCUUUGGAACCGGAAGUUACUCUGCCUGUGGCGCAUUUUUUUCAAACAUGAACAUUAGCGGUGACCCAAACAUAGCUGUCGCUAUUCGAGAAUAUUUUGAUUCAGGACAGACAUACGAGGUGAUACUGGAUAUGCUCAAGUGUAAUCGUGACAUUUCAAUUAGUAUGCGUACACUGAAAACGCAUUUAAAAGAAUCUGGACUGUACAGACGAGGCAACUAUUCUCCACUUCCUGAGGUGAGGCGUGCCAUUUUGGCCGAGCUUCGAGGACCAGGACAAUUGUUUGGAUAUCGGACCAUGUGGCAAGUUCUCAAACAAAAACACAAGCUGCGUGUCAAGCGUGAUGUAGUUAUGAGGCUGUUGAGACAACUAAAUCCUCAAGGAAUCGCUUUGAGAACUCGAAGGAGGUUCACAAGACGCACGUAUCACUCCAUGGGGCCCAAUUACAUAUGGCAUGUAGAUGGCUAUGAUAAACUGAAACCCUUUGGCUUGGCCCUGUCAGGAUGUAUAGAUGGCUUUUCAAGAAGACUGAUGUGGCUUGUGUGUGGAGCAACAAACAACAACCCAGCUGUUAUAGCUCACAAUUAUAUAAACUGUGUAAAGAGUCUUGGUGUGAUACCAAUGAGAUUACGAACAGACUUCGGGACUGAGAAUGGGACUAUGGCAGCAAUACAGUGUACCCUCCGUCACGCGCACACGGACUAUUAUGCUGGAUCGUCACGCCAGAGUAGCGUCCUGCUGGACGUGUUGAAAAGUUGGAUGAGAUAGACGUUAACAGCCGUCACUUUAUUGCAGGAACUCAAAAUGGUCACUGUCAGCUGUUGUGCCGAAAUGAGCAUGCUUGCCUAGAUUUAACGCCGCCAAUACAAAAUGAAAAACUCAGACCAAACUCUCCACUCCUCACAAUCAACACACAGAACAGAGUGAAAAGAAUACAGCAUUUUUAACAAGAACACUACUGCAGGGUCGCUACAAUAUUUAUGGAAAACUAAUAUGCAUUACUUUGUUUGACAUGUGGCAUGUUUUAAAUGGGACCAAAAUGUAACAAACCCUAUAAAAUGACCAAGAACAAAGCUAAAUUGAUUCUUAAAUAUUAAUUAUAUACCCAGGUCUCAGUUUUGGAUGGACUUGUUUGGAGACCUAAGAGACUCUGGAAACUUAAAUGGAAGCCACGAACACCAAUGCUUGCUGAGAUUCUGCUUCAGAGGGGUUCAACAGAAAGACCUGGAUGAAUGCAAAGACCUCUGGAACAAACACAGGAUCCGGCCAAGCAGACUUGCAUCGUGUCCAGGGGGGAUUCCAAACGAACUCUAUCUCUUGCCUCACAGAUAUGGUUCAAGAGACUGUGGAUUUGCUGUUGAGGAGAGGGAACUGGAUGUGUUUCCCGAGGAGGGGCUACCGGUUGGAUUGUGUGGUGAUCCAAACAUUGAGGAAUAUUUACAACAGGCUGUACAACAAAACACACUGCAGCAGCCACAAGACUGGGAAUCGGCCACAGAACUGUAUUUGGCCCUGAAGGACAUAGCUGGGUUUUAGAUACCAACUGAACUUCAGUUUGUAAUGACAUUUGUCAGAGUUACUCUGACGAAGACACACACUGUGUCGAAACGUUAGUUUCUUUCCUUUUUUUGCACCUAAUAAAACCUUUGGACUUGA